ACGCGAUAAGGGUUCUCGAACUCAUAGCGGGAGUGUUUCGUGUUGUUUGGCCGCGAACACCACUCGGUUCUGUUAGUCCGUAUCUCGUUCCGACGUUUUAACCUCAUUUGUGCUCGAUGUCAGGUCAAAGUAUCUGUGAAAUUGUGUGGAAAUGACUUCGCGCCCCUGCGCAUUCCAGUGUUGGUUCAGUCCGCGGUCGAGUCCACCGCACAGAGCGUGUGGGGGUGUUAAGAGUUCCAGCUCCGUUCCCAGGCCGACGCUGUUCCAGUCGGAGCCGCUUACACAUUAACUCCAGCCCGCUUCCCGCUCCGCUCCGUCCCGCUGACACACCCCGGACAAGCGGCUCCGUCGACCGAGACUCGGUUUAGUCGUAACGGGGCCGGUUAAGGCGGUUUCUCCGGGGCUUCGCUGGCUGGCGGUGCGCGAUGCCGACGCUGCGGGACAGCAGUGCGACCCACCCGGUGGAGAACCAGCACCAGGUCCGGGUGAAGGCCUACUACCGCGGGUGGUGGAGCAGAAGCGUUUGGAGCGCAGGAAGGUCCGCAUGGACCCCCUCUUCCCACAGAACUCGCACUGCAGCAGAUCUAACGGACUGACCGCUGACCUCUCUGAGAACACAGCACACACACCCCCCCUCAGAACCCACAGCCUGAGCACCCCUCUGACCAUCACUCUCAUCUGUCUCAAAACAACUGCACGGCUAAAUCUUCACACACUGGCCUCAAACCACGUGGAGCUGAGUAAUCUCUAAUGGACUAAGUGCUAAAGGGGUGUGUUGUCCAUGUCCGAGUCUGAGGAGUUCUCGGGCUCCUCGGUGUCCGGCAGGAAGUCGAGGUGUUCCGCUCCAUUCUCCGGCAGCUUUCGGUCCUCGGGCAGUUGGACCUGCUGCUGCUUCUCCGCAGCGGUUUGGCCCACCUGUGGAAGAAAGCGCACCUGUCACAGCGCACCUGACCAAGCGCACGGACACUGCAGGUGCAGAGGGAAAGGACUGCUAGCACUCCAGACUAGCUAUGGUGCCUCCUGGUGGACAUACCGGGAAUGGCGCCAGCCCCUCUGUGAUGACGAAGCCCUCUAUGAGGUGUGUGAGGAUGUGUGGUCUAACGCCGGCCUGCGG